GCGGAGGGUCAUUCACAAAUAUGAAGGCGGGCUGGAACCUCUCGGGGUUACAGCCUUGCUGAAUUAUUCACCCUUGUCUUUUGCGUACUUCUUGUUUCCUUGGUGGGUUCGCCCACCACUAGGACAAACAUAAACCUUUUGUAAUUGCAAUCAGCGUCAGUAACAAAUUAAUAAUUACAACUUUCAACAACGGAUCUCUUGGUUCUGGCAUCGAUGAAGAACGCAGCGAAAUGCGAUAAGUAGUGUGAAUUGCAGAAUUCAGUGAAUCAUCGAAUCUUUGAACGCACAUUGCGCCCUUUGGUAUUCCAAAGGGCAUGCCUGUUCGAGCGUCAUUUGUACCCUCAAGCUUUGCUUGGUGUUGGGCGUCUUGUCUCUAGCUUUGCUGGAGACUCGCCUUAAAGUAAUUGGCAGCCGGCCUACUGGUUUCGGAGCGCAGCACAAGUCGCACUCUCUAUCAGCAAAGGUCUAGCAUCCAUUAAGCCUUUUUUUCAACUUUUGACCUCGGAUCAGGUAGGGAUACCCGCUGAACUUAAGCAUAUCAUAAA
rnacentral:rRNA from 1 species